ACUAAAUCUGUGUGUGUUUUUCAUCGCUGAACCCAUUUUUCACUGAAACUUCAUCGCAUUGCAUCACAUGCAUACCGAACCCAUUUUUCAAUCAACUCUGAACUUCAUCGCUUUCAAUCAACUAGUUUCAGCGAAGUUUAAUUUCAGGAAGUGUAUCGCGUUGCUUCUGUGAAUCCUUUCUCAUUCGCUCAACUUCGCUUCGCUUCUGUGACGAUUGAAAAGGGCUUCGCUCAUUCGCUCUCUUCUUCUCCAACACCGCACCGCUCAUUUGCUCACUGAAACUGAGAGGAAUCCAUUUCGCAGUGACGACAAACGAAGCUGAGAGGAAACCAUUUCAUAGUGACGACAUUGAUAGCUGGAACUGAUAAAUUUGCCAAAGUGAUAGAGUUUCUUCGCAGACAGCUCCACAGGGAGACAUUGUUUGUAUAUGUCAAGAGUGCUUUUUCACCAAACCCUGAUGAACUUGUCAUUGAUUUGUAUAAUUGGUGCUGCUGAGACGU